GAUGAACGCUGGCGGCGUGCCUAAUGCAUGCAAGUCGAGCGAACAGACGAGGAGCUUGCUCCUCUGACGUUAGCGGCGGACGGGUGAGUAACACGUGGAUAGCCUACCUAUAAGACUGGGAUAACUUCGGGAAACCGGAGCUAAUACCGGAUAAUAUAUUGAACCGCAUGGUUCAAUAGUGAAAGACGGUUUUGCUGUCACUUAUAGAUGGAUCCGCGCCGCAUUAGCUAGUUGGUAAGGUAACGGCUUACCAAGGCAACGAUGCGUAGCCGACCUGAGAGGGUGAUCGGCCACACUGGAACUGAGACACGGUCCAGACUCCUACGGGAGGCAGCAGUAGGGAAUCUUCCGCAAUGGGCGAAAGCCUGACGGAGCAACGCCGCGUGAGUGAUGAAGGUCUUCGGAUCGUAAAACUCUGUUAUUAGGGAAGAACAAAUGUGUAAGUAACUAUGCACGUCUUGACGGUACCUAAUCAGAAAGCCACGGCUAACUACGUG
rnacentral:rRNA from 1 species